GGUGUGUAACCUUAACUAAGUAUAUACAUACUAAGUGUGUAAUAUAUAUUUAUAAAAUAUAAUAUACUGCUAUAAAAACAUACUAAAUAUAAAUAGAAAAAACUAACUAACAUAACAACAUUCUGAACGAAUGUGAAUGGAAGUGACACUUGACGUGCUUCACAAAAUUCUAUAAUUAGCUAUGGUCAAAGCCGUUCACCAAUGACCAUACACACACAAUGCAAACUAUUUACGAAUUACGUAAUGGCGACGAGUGCUUAUCAACAAUUAUUAUGCAAGGCAUCAUUGUGUUCAAAUUGUGGAAAUGAGUGUCUGAAAUGGUGUUAUGAAAGAAAAAUAAAAUAAAAUAACGUAUUAAGUGUGAACGAGUAUGCAGGUCGAUCGUAAUCCUGCUACCAGGAUGGCGUAGACAAAAAUAGAGGAAAUGACAGAGAGAUGAGGAAAAAAGUUUGACCAGAGCAGAUGCUCCUCCAUACCGAAGAGAAUGAUUCAAAAGCAGCCCACACCGCAGGAAGUGAUCCCCAAACCAAAGCAUGUGUGCCAUGAAACCUGAGGCAUCGAAAUGGGGGAGGGAGAUCAUUCCAGCAGCGCGUGGCUGCAAACUUGAAGCAUCCUCUGAAAGCCGUAGUGCGAUGCGUGGGAACGGUCAGCGGACACACUAUGGAGCGAAGACCAUGCUUUAUCUGGCUUUGUUUCCAGGUCAGCUUUUUGAAAAGAUAUUCUGGUGUUUGAGCCCUAACAGUACCAAACAACAGAUUGGCCAAAUGAAGUUUUCUCCUGGCAGCCAUCUUUAAUAGUUUUAGUUCAUUAAUGUAUGGGGUAACAUGACUUCUACGUGGAAUAUUUAUACAAUAACGAACACAGGCAUUUUGAAUACGUUUAUUGUAAUCUCUAUAAGUUCGUGUGUGUUUUACCGUACCUAAUCACAUUAAAUCCUAUCACAUAUA